rnacentral:rRNA from 1 species
UGAAGGUACAGGAUAACUCGAUCGGCUCCGUGGGUGACCACGCUCUGACCGGCCUCACCUCUCUACGAAUUCUGAAUAUGUCUAGCAAUAGACUCGUCGCACUGCCACCAGAACUGUUUUCUAAAACGAGGGAGCUGAGAGAGCUGAUCCUUAGCAACAAUUCUCUCACGGUAUUAGCGCCCGGCUUGCUGGACAGUCUCGAGGAGCUUCAAGAGUUGGAUCUCAGCAAUAACGGGUGACGAGCC